rnacentral:rRNA from 1 species
UGGAUGCCCUGGCAGUCAGAGGCGAUGAAGGACGUGCUAAUCUGCGAUAAGCGCCGGUAAGGUGAUAUGAACCGUUAUAACCGGCGAUUUCCGAAUGGGGAAACCCAGUGUGAUUCGUCACACUAUCAUUAACUGAAUCCAUAGGUUAAUGAGGCGAACCGGGGGAACUGAAACAUCUAAGUACCCCGAGGAAAAGAAAUCAACCGAGAUUCCCCCAGUAGCGGCGAGCGAACGGGGAGGAGCCCAGAGCCUGAAUCAGCAUGUGUGUUAGUGGAAGCGUCUGGAAAGGCGCGCGAUACAGGGUGACAGCCCCGUACACAAAAGCGCAUGUGCUGUGAGCUCGAUGAGUAGGGCGGGACACGUGGUAUCCUGUCUGAAUAUGGGGGGACCAUCCUCCAAGGCUAAAUACUCCUGACUGACCGAUAGUGAACCAGUACCGUGAGGGAAAGGCGAAAAGAACCCCGGCGAGGGGAGUGAAAAAGAACCUGAAACCGU